rnacentral:rRNA from 1 species
AACGAACGCUGGCGGCAUGCCUAACACAUGCAAGUCGAACGAGACCUUCGGGUCUAGUGGCGCCCGGGUGCGUAAGGCGUGGGAAUCUGCCCUUAGGUUCGGAAUCACUCCCCGUAAGGGGUGCUAAUACCGGCUAAUAUCUUCGGCCCACAGAGUUAUCGCCCUUGGAUGGGCGCGCGCUGGCUUAGCUAGUUGGUAGGGUAUAAGCCUACCAAGGUGACGAUCCAUAGCUGGGCAGAGAGGAAGAUCAGCCACACUGGGACUAAGACGCGGCCCAGACUCCUACGGGAGGCAGCAGAGGGGAAUAUUGGACAAUGGGCGAAAGCCUGAUGCAGCAAGGCCGGGUGAGUGAUGAAGGCCGUAGGGUUGUAAAGCUCUUUAACCCGGGAUGAUAAUGACAGUACCGGGAGAAUAAGCACCGGCUAACUCCGUG